rnacentral:rRNA from 1 species
CCUACGGGUGGCAGCAGUGAGGAAUAUUGGUCAAUGGACGAGAGUCUGAACCAGCCAAGUAGCGUGAAGGAUGACUGCCCUAGGGGUUGUAAACUUCUUUUAUAUGGGAAUAAAAUGUUCCACGUUUGGGAUUUUGUAUGUACCAUAUGAAUAAGGAUCGGCUAACUCCGUGCCAGCAGCCGCGGUAAUACGGAGGAUCCGAGCGUUAUCCGGAUUUAUUGGGUUUAAAGGGAGCGUAGGUGGAUUGUUAAGUCAGUUGUGAAAGUUUGCGGCUUAACCGUAAAAUUGCAGUUGAAACUGGCAGUCUUGAGUACAGUAGAGGUGGGCGGAAUUCGUGGUGUAGCGGUGAAAUGCUUAGAUAUCACGAAGAACUCCGAUUGCGAAGGCAGUUCACUGGACUGCAACUGACACUGAGGCUCGAAAGUGUGGGUAUCAAACAGGAUUAGAUACCCCGGUAGUC